rnacentral:tRNA from 1 species
UCCCUGGUGGAUCAGAUGGUAAAGCGUCUGCCUACAAUGCAGAAGACCCAGUUUCGAUCCCUGGGUGGGGAA